rnacentral:rRNA from 1 species
AGAUUAAGUUAUUAAGGGCGCACGGUGGAUGCCUUGGCACUAGAAGCCGAUGAAGGACGUUACUAACGACGAUAUGCUUUGGGGAGCUGUAAGUAAGCUUUGAUCCAGAGAUUUCCGAAUGGGGAAACCCAGCAUGAGUUAUGUCAUGUUAUCGAUAUGUGAAUACAUAGCAUAUCAGAAGGCACACCCGGAGAACUGAAACAUCUUAGUACCCGGAGGAAGAGAAAGAAAAUUCGAUUCCCUUAGUAGCGGCGAGCGAAACGGGAAGAGCCCAAACUAACAAGCUUGCUUGUUGGGGUUGUAGGACACUCUAUACGGAGUUACAAAGGACGACAUUAGACGAAUCAACUGGAAAGAUGAAUCAAAGAAGGUAAUAAUCCUGUAGUCGAAAAUGUUGUCUCUCUUGAGUGGAUCCUGAGUACGACGGAGCACGUGAAAUUCCGUCGGAAUCUGGGAGGACCAUCUCCUAAGGCUAAAUACUCUCUAGUGACCGAUAGUGAACCAGUACCGUGAGGGAAAGGUGAAAAGAACCCCGGAAGGGGAGUGAAAUAGAACCUGAAACCGUGUGCUUACAAGUAGUCAGAGCCCGUUAAUGGGUGAUGGCGUGCCUUUUGUAGAAUGAACCGGCGAGUUACGAUU